UAGAGUUUGAUCCUGGCUCAGAUUGAACGCUGGCGGCAUGCCUUACACAUGCAAGUCGAACGGUAACAGGUUAAGCUGACGAGUGGCGAACGGGUGAGUAAUAUAUCGGAGCGUGCCCAGUCGUGGGGGAUAACUGCUCGAAAGAGCAGCUAAUACCGCAUACGACCUGAGGGUGAAAGCGGGGGAUCGCAAGACCUCGCGCGAUUGGAGCGGCCGAUAUCAGAUUAGGUAGUUGGUGGGGUAAAGGCCCACCAAGCCAACGAUCUGUAGCUGGUCUGAGAGGACGACCAGCCACACCGGGACUGAGACACGGCCCAGACUCCUACGGGAGGCAGCAGUGGGGAAUUUUGGACAAUGGGGGCAACCCUGAUCCAGCAAUGCCGCGUGUGUGAAGAAGGCCUUCGAGUUGUAAAGCACUUUUGUCCGGAAAGAAAUCGCACUUACUAAUAUUAGGUGUGGAUGACGGUACCGGAAGAAUAAGGACCGGCUAACUACGUGCCAGCAGCCCCGGUCA
rnacentral:rRNA from 1 species